GAGCAAGAUGGGUCACCAGCAGCUCUAUUGGAGCCACCCGAGAAAAUUCGGCCAGGGUUCUCUCUCUUGUCGCGUCUGCUCAAACCGGCACAGUCUGAUCCGGAAAUACGGCCUCAAUAUGUGCCGCCAGUGUUUCUGUCAGUGCACGAAGGACAUCGGUUUCAUUAAGUUGGACUAAGUGAUCUUCUUUGAAUGGAUUUUCCACGGCACCCACAAAGUGAAAGAGACCAUGCUAGUAGCUCUUUGUAUAUAAAAUAAAAUUUAAGAGA